rnacentral:pre_miRNA from 1 species
CCUUAUAGAUGAGCAAAGAAAGUGAUUCCUUGUGAUGGGAUCUACUCUUGGUGAAGAUACUGUGAA